UCAGAGCUAAUAGUGAAGGUGAAUCAAGAAAAAACAAAAUUACAUUACCUCUUGUUCUUUUGUUUCUUUGUUAAACAAUAUUAAAAGGUAAACAAUAUUACAAAUAGCUGAUGAUGAUUAAAAAACAAUAUUACAAAUAUUGGAAAAUAUGACAAAGUAAGAAAAGAAGAAUACUCCGUAAUUUUGUAGUCAUUGUUAUACUUCUAUGAUACGUUGACACUAGUUAAACACUGUUUUAGAGUCUUAAUGUUGUAGCCAAAUAGAUAAGUAUGAGGUGACAAAAUGAAAAAAAUGAACAAAAAAAAGAUGAGAUAUUUGUUUUUAUGAACCUGCGAGUGUGACGUGGUGGGUUAUCACAACCCAACCAAUUGGAAAAAAUCCGAGUCUUUUUUUGGAAGGUUUAUUUUUGUAUGUUU
rnacentral:lncRNA from 1 species